rnacentral:rRNA from 1 species
UACGGAGGGUGCAAGCGUUAUCCGGAUUCACUGGGUUUAAAGGGUGUGUAGGCGGGCUGUUAAGUCAGUGGUGAAAUCUCCAGGCUCAACCUGGAAACUGCCAUUGAUACUAUCAGUCUUGAAUUUUGUUGAGGUAGGCGGAAUAUGUCAUGUAGCGGUGAAAUGCUUAGAUAUGACAUAGAACACCGAUUGCGAAGGCAGCUUACUAAACAAAUAUUGACGCUGAGGCACGAAAGCGUGGGGAUCAAACAGGAUUAGAUACCCUGGUAGUCCACGCCCUAAACGAUGAUUACUCGACAUACGCGAUAUUACUGUGUGUGUCUGAGCGAAAGCAUUAAGUAAUCCACCUGGGAAGUACGUCCGCAAGGAUGAA